GUCACUUAGCCUUACUUCUGUGCUUGCGUGUCUAUAAUUGAGCAUUGCACCCCCACCACCGUCGCCGAAAAGUCCGGAUUUCUUUCGCAACCGCAAAGGCAAACGCUUAACAUUCGUUUUCCGAUUUCGUCUUCAAACAAUUUCCGAGAACCGAUUUCAGUUUCAUCGGCGACGGUCACCGUCACCGGCCCUGUACCUGGUUUAGGGUUUUGGCUGACCUCGGAUUAGAGGAUUUUGCUCCUUUUUGUUUCUAAAAAGGCUUCUCUUGUUCUCGCUGCUUUUCUUAUGCGAUUGCAUUACGGGCUUUAUAAUGAUUGAGAGGAAAGAGUAUAUAAGGACAGGGACAAUUAGUAUGGAAGAUUGUUCCACUCUAUUGGAAAGAUAUUCAGUAAGGACGAUAUUUACUUUGCUUCGGGAGGUGGCUCAGGUUUCGGGAGUGAGAAUUGAUUGGCACACAUUAGUGAAGAACACGUCCACUGGGAUUUCUAAUGUUCGGGAGUAUCAGUUGUUAUGGCGGCAUUUGGCUUAUCGUCACACAUUUCUGGAGAACAUGGAUUCUGUUACUGAUCCACUGGAUUAUGAUAGUGACCUAGAUUUUGAAAUAGAACCUUUUCCAUCUGUCAGCAGUGAGUCCUCGAAUGAAGCUGCAGCAUGUGUGAAGGUACUGAUUGCUAAUGGUAUACCAAGUGAGUCAGAUGUUCCAAGUAGUUCUGCAGUUGAGGCCCCAUUGACUAUAGGCAUAUCCAAUAGUCAAUCAUCCACAUACAAUCUUGAAAAUUAUCAAUCUGCUUGUUUGAUGCAAGGGAUGUCUGUUACGAUUCCACUUUCCCUUCAGAGACAGCCUAUUCCAAUGCCAUCAGCAACUGAAGUACUUGAUGUGAAUGGAGCAGCUGCUGCUAAUGCAGCUUCUCGGAAAAGAAGAAAACCUUGGUCAAAGGCAGAGGAUUUGGAAUUGAUGGCUGCUGUGGAGAAGUGUGGUGAAGGAAAUUGGGCGAAUAUCUUGAAAGGAGACUUCAAGGGGGAUAGAACUGCUUCACAACUAUCUCAGAGGUGGUCCGUUAUUAGGAAGCGACGUGGUAAUUUGAAUGUGGGAGCUAGCACCUCAAGUACUACUCAGAAAGCUCAGAUUGAUGCUGCACACCGUGCAUUGUCCUUUGCCCUUGAUUUGCCGGUGAAUAACUCAAAAACAGCAGCAAAUUCAAACAUAAACAGUAGCGUUGUUUCUUCUGCAAGUGGUGCCGAAGCUUCGGUUCAAAUGCAGAAUCAGUCUCCACAGAUUUCCAUGCCUUCAAGGCCGCUACUGGUAGAGCCUUUACCUUCAUCAGUGAAAUCUGGAAUCAUCACUUCCAAGAAUUCAUUGAUGAUGAAGUCUACUCACAAUUCUGAUUCUAUAGUUAGAGCAACUGCAGUAGCUGCAGGGGCUCGGAUUGUUUCUCCAUCUGAUGCUGCAUCUCUGUUGAAAGCCGCACAGAUGAAAAAUGCCAUCCACAUAAAGUCCAAAUGUUCACCAAUGCACUUGGAUGCACGCCCCAGUGUACAUUAUAUUUCCACAGGAAAAACACCAACUCCAGGCUCAAACUUUGUGGUUGGUAAAUCUACUAUGCUAGGCAAUAACUCAGUGAAAGCUGUCUCACCAAAAGUUCAGCACAAUCGUUCUACUGCCAUUUCGACAAACCCACCAUCAGACCGAGUAAGCCCAACAACUGAGUCUCCAUUGAAGCAAAAGGUUAACAGUUCAGAAGAACGCAAAAUUUCCGAGCUAAUCAUUACUGCAAAAGAGGAGUUUCGAGAAACAGCAAGGCAAAUGAUGUCAAGAUUAGGGGCUGAUCGAACAUAAAAGGAAGCAAGAACAAAUCUAUACCAUAUAAUCAAAAUCAUGGGGGCCAUAGCACAAAUAAUAAACAGCCGAGCUCAACAAGCCCGGCAAAGCAGAUCAUGGAUUGAAGUCUGGAAUUUUUGAAUCUGGUGGACUGCCGUGCUAAACCGCAACCAAAACUCGAGAUUCAUCUCUAGUUGGCCAUCAAUAUGGGAGCGGAAUCUUUCUUCUGUAGGUGACAUGCUUUCUUCUGUGGGCUCAAUACCCCGCUCGCCAUAAGAAUCGAAAAUCGAAACUUGAUCUAUAUAUGGAGUAGAGGAUUCAGAGUACAAAUAGCUAGGAGCCUCAUGAAUGCUUUCUUGAGAAUCGAAAGAGAUCCAAAAUCCAUCCGAGGAGGAAGAAGAAGGCAAAAAAAUAAAACGUUCGUUGAUAAAGAAGAAGCGAAACGAAAAUGAGAAUAUGAGAAGAUCACAGGUGACAGCAGCAACGGAGGAGAAGAGUGGAUUACAAAUCUCAGAAAAGAAAAAAAAAAGAAAAAAGAAAAAAACACCCUAAUUGUUGAAGAUGAAGAAGAUGAUGAAGCGAAAGGGCGCCAGCAAGCAAUGGAAGAUGAGAUUGAGAAUAUUGAGAGAGAUCACAGGCAGCCUAUAGUCAUGGAUGAGAGGAUACAGCGGCUUGUUUAUAGCUGUUGGCAAUGGAAGACCGAGACCUUCUAUUUAGUUCCACGUGGCAUUUCCGGGCUGGCAACCUUUUCUUGCAUGACUCUCCAUUCUGUUAUCUAUUUUUUAUGUCUUGUAAUUAAUUUAAAACUGAUCUUGCACUAAAUUAAUUCAUUAAACUUAUUAUCUAA